GUGCUUGCUUUGGCAGUCCAUAUGCUAAAUUUAGAAUGAUAGAGAAAAUUAGCAUGGCCGUGUGCAAGGAGGACACACAAAUUCAUGGGGAAAAAAAAGAAUCCU